GACAAAUAUGUAAUAUGAAAUGGAAGAAUAUUUUAGCAACGAGCUUUAAUAUAUCUCGAGCCUUCUUUACUACUCCCUCCAUCCCAAUAUUCAUGGCUCGUAUUCCUUUUUGAGUCAUCUCACGUUACUCGACCGUUUCAUUUUUUAGCUGUAAUUAGGAGUAAAUUAAUAUCUUAAUUAACUACAUUACAAAACUCAAAAAGUAACCUAAUUUCUGACUUCUAAGUUCUCGUUGUCUACAACCUCUUUCCUCUCCUCCUGAAUUUCUCUCACUCUUGUCCGUCUCCACCGCCUCUGCCCUCCACCCUCCACCGCGUCCUCCGCCUCUUCCUCCACACCAUACCUUCAUCCGUCCUCUUCCUCUUACUGCCUCCACCGUUCCUCUAAAAUCGUCUCCACCACCAACCUCGCACCUCCACUACAACGACGACAUCCCCUCUUUUCACCGUCAUGUCGGGAAUUAGAGGAGAGAGUUUGGGGAUCUGGGGAUGUAGCAACAGACGAGAAAGAUGAAACCAAGGGCACAACGGUGACUCACCGCUACUGUCCGACCAAGGGCAGUGUAUGAAAAAGGUUCGGGGCGGCUGGCACAGGAGGAGUCUCCGAAUUUGAAGCUUUUUGUGGGGAAGUUGUGAUUUGAUUUAUGUAUCUAUGUUUGGGAUGAAGCUUUUUUAUGUAUCUUUGAUUUUGAUUUCUGUGGAGGAGGAUGUCGUAUCUCUGAUUCUUGAGAUGAAUCUUUGAUUUAGAGUAUAGAUUUUUUCUUUCUGUGAUAAUUUUCAUUUUGCAUUCUCAUUUAGCAUCAGUUGAGCUUCAUCAAUUUAGGGUUUAAAAUUUCUUCUUCAGUUUUUUUCAACAUUUUAGGAAUGAAUAUCAUGAAUUUUUGUUUAAGUUUGUUGAUGUGGCUGGUGUUGUUGAUUGUUGGGGAGGUGUCUCCUAAUUAAAGUUAAAACAUACUUAAGCAUGUGAACUUUCUUCUUUUCUCC
rnacentral:lncRNA from 1 species